GCUGUCCGGCCUUUGUCGUCCGCAGCACAGGGGUCAGCUCCAUCCUCCAAGAGUUGCUGCACUGACAGACCCAAGGAGAAGAAAGCAGCAUAUUCUACAACAGUCAAGACAGUUUCAGGCCACUGAAAGCCACCAUUCAUCUCAGCUUCCAGAAUUACAGCCACCUUUUAAUUUCUUCCUGUACACAUCCUACUUCAAGUGUGGUACAGAACUGACAAGAACACCAAAAAGGAUAGAAGUGGCGUUAACAUGGAAUGUUUGACGCUUCAGAAGAAAGAAUGGGAGACUGAUAGUGCCCCAGUGAGAACCAUUAAUUGGAACACUUUAGCUACUCUUCCCCUGAACAAAGUAGGAAUGACAUAACCUCUCCACCCAGUGCCACCACAGGAAACAGCAAAGAUGUUUACUUGUUGCUGAAAAAUAAAUUAACCAUAGCACACUUCCUCAAGUUGCAGAGUAAACAAAACACAAGAGGACUGUAAAUAUGGGAACCUAUCAAAUCCAAGGUGGAUUGAAACCAAGACUUCCAUAAAACUGCCUUCUUUCAUCUUCCUGUUGGAAAUUAUAUAACUUUUAAAUAAUUUUAGCUGGUGAUUUUCAUUAACUUUUAAAUUAAUAGCUCUAGUAAAUCAUAAUCUAUAUAUACAAUUAUAAAUAGUGUGUGAUUCCUAAAUUAUUCUUAGCCAGUAUUUAGCAAAGCUGUCAUAAUGUACUUUUGUAGGAACACAGCUUGGGGAAACUACUGGAACUUUAACUUUUGAUAAACUAACUCUGAUAUGCUUCAAUGAACAAAACCUGAGAAAGAUGUAUGGUUGAGGUUGGACAUCUGAAAUGUAGACUUUAUGGACCACAAGGACUGUGCAGAAACCAGAAGAUAAAGAAGGGACUAACAAAGACUUUCCAGCUCAGUAUAUGUGUUGGAAAGUCCCUACCAGAGGAGAAAGAUACUAAAAAUAUAGACUAACUAGCAUGAGAAGUGAGAAAUCAACACCCCACAGAGGACAGCAUACUAAUUAAUAGAAUAGAAUUAUGCAAAUUACAACCAAUGAACAUUAAUUUAUUUGUUUGCUAAAAAAUAUAAAUAAGUGAAGAAGUUUUAUAUCUGAGUCUGAGUGGAGGUCAGAAUUUUGUGAGCCACAUAAAUCCCUCCUAGCCAACAACAAUAUAACAUCUUAAGCACUAACACAAUAAAGAAAGUGUUAGAGGGGUUUAUUUACCCCAACAAUUUAGAAGGAUUUAGUAACAAUUUACUGGUGAUGCAGGUGAGACAACACAUUUGAUAUUCACAGACUUACAGGAACAAGGACUUUGGUGCACACUGAAAGACUUUUUUCAGGGAAAAUGUUCAAUCCUCUGAUCCAGGCAAGUUCAAGGUAAAAAAAACUGUGAGUUUAUUAAGACGUUACUGAAGGUUUAAAAAGGUAUACCUAAUCAUAAGCUUGCACUCUCUAACAUAGUAAGAAUUAAGAAAGUGAUGAUAUAUAAUUGGCUAUUUUCUAUUAAGUUAGUGUAAAACUCUGUAAGUGAAUAUUAAUGGAAUUGUGUUUGAGUCCCACUGUCUAGUUGGAAAACUCUAAUUGUAAAACUAUAUAAGUGACUAUCAAAAGGUGUUAAGUUUGAGUCUUCACCCUCUGCUUUGCCCACAAAUUAGUCAGACAGUGCUGCUUGCAUGAAGAGCCACAUUGUGGAAGGGCUUUGCCCAGAUAUUUCUGCUUAUUGAAGCCUAUGGUAUCUGUUAGUGUUGGAAAAUGUAAGUGUGUGGUAACGUGAGUGUGUCAUAAGCAUAAAUUGAGUCUGUAUGAAAAUUCAUUGGCUGUAAGAGCGUUGAAGUUGACUGUGAAUUUUAGUGUAUUUGGUGUGUACUAAGUGUUCGGUUUUGGGUAAUGUAAAUUGUUAAAGCGAGGGUGGUUUGCUCAGAGCCCUCUCCUGGCUUAGCACAGCGGCUGCUCCUGCCGCCCUGACUGGGAUUGUGUUGGUGUGCACGGAGCGCUCUCUCGUGUUGUGUUUUUGUCAUUGCUGGAAUUUCUAUUUACUGUGGGCUUCCCUUUUUCUUCUCGAGCCCAGGAAGAGUGGGAAUACGCAAAUGUUUGCCUUUAGGUUGUAUUUUGCAGCACUGGAAAGCAUUUAAAAACAAUUCUUUAACUGGUAAUAGCAUACUGUAUUCUCUGGUGGCUAGAUUAUCUAUUAGAUAAUCAAGGAAAAUGGCCAGUUCAUGGUAUUUGACACCAAAAUGGUAUUUUAGAGUUGAUGUUAUAUUGCCAAAAGAAAGAGAAAUGGAAUGACAUAGUUCCUCAAGCAGUGAUGAGAGAAGCAGCCAAAGAUAAACACAGAGAAACACACUGGGGAGCAGAAGCUAUGAGAGAUAACUUGAAACAUCAAGCAAUUAGUGUAAAAAUACCAGGAAUCAAAAGUGUAGUCAGUAAGUGUGUAAGUUUGCAACACAAUCCACAGCCCUACAAAAGACCUCCUUUAGGGAUUACAAAAAGAGGAAACUGUCCUGGAGUUUAUAGGCAAAUAGAUUUUUCUGAGUUACCUCGACAAGAGGGAUAUUGAUACAUAUUGGUUUUAGCUGACACAUUUUUUGGAUAGCCGCGUGCAUCAACAAAGCAAGAGAAGUUACCAAGAUAUUGUUAAAAGAGAUAAUACCCUGAUCUACAAUUUCAUUUGGAAUUACAAGCAAAAUUUUUGCAUUUUAAUGUCUUAAGUUUUGCUAAAUAGUCAACGAUUUAAGUGGAAGUAAUCAUAAAGGAAAUUUAAGAUCACUUCCAAAGCGGGGAAUUUUUGGAAAUGUCAGAACUUUUUAAUAAUUUUAGCUAAUGUUUUUUAAUUACCUUUUAAGUAGAUUGUUUAGUCAUAAUCAAUAAAUAUUAAUUCAUUAUAAA